rnacentral:rRNA from 1 species
GACGAACGCUGGCGGCGUGCCUAAUACAUGCAAGUUGAGCGCUGAAGGUUGGUACUUGUACCAACUGGAUGAGCAGCGAACGGGUGAGUAACGCGUGGGGAAUCUGCCUUUGAGCGGGGGACAACAUUUGGAAACGAAUGCUAAUACCGCAUAAAAACUUUAAACACAAGUUUUAAGUUUGAAAGAUGCAAUUGCAUCACUCAAAGAUGAUCCCGCGUUGUAUUAGCUAGUUGGUGAGGUAAAGGCUCACCAAGGCGAUGAUACAUAGCCGACCUGAGAAGGUGAUCGGCCACAUUGGGACUGAGACACGGCCCAAACUCCUACGGGAGGCAGCAGUAGGGAAUCUUCGGCAAUGGACGAAAGUCUGACCGAGCAACGCCGCGGGAGUGAAGAAGGUUUUCGGAUCGUAAAACUCGGUUGGUAGAGAAGAACGUUGGUGAGAGUGGAAAGCUCAUCAAGUGACGGUAACUACACAGAAAGGGACGGCUAACUACGUG